GGUUUUAUUCAAGGAAACAGUACCAAAAACACUGCAGUGAAUUUCUUGAACCUCAAGGGGAUACUGAAGGGGAUAUACUUGGGAUGAAUGUGUAUUUAUUUUGCAAAUCUGAUAAUAGCUGUUCUUCAAAAAAAUUCAUGUGAGUUUUUAUUCCAGCAUUUCAGGGUUAUGGUAUUUUGUUUUAUUUAAUUUGGAAUUCAUCAAAAAUGCUGUACAGAACUGUUACAGAACCAGCGCCACAUUUCCUAACACUGUAUAAAUACUUGAGUCAACAACCAAUCUGAUCGACACUGCUCAGCCUCAGAUUAAGCAUCAAAUAUGAAAAUUUCCACUCCUUUUUCUUGUUAUUUCGAAAUCUACAUAAACUAGAAAUGUGUCCAUGGGACACAGAUGCCCCCACUACAUGACAUUAAAAUGACAAUUUUUUCCCAGGUCAGGGGCCAGAACUCCUACAAUACUGAAUGAAUCCGGAUGCGAAACCCCAGGUGCACAACUGCACAUGCUGACCAACAUUCCUGUAAACUUUGGUGACUCUAGGUCAAAUACUUUUGGAGCUACGCACGACACAACAUUAAAAUGACCGAUUUUUUGCUAAGUCAGGGGCCAUAACUCCUACAUGACUGGAUGAAUCUGGACGCAAAACCCCAGGUGCACAACUGCACAUGCUGACCAACAUUCCUGUAAACUUUGGUGACUGUAGGUCAAAUACUUUUGGAGCUAUGCGCGACACAACAUUAAAAUGACCAUUUUUUUACUAAGUCAGGGGCCAUAACUC